GUUGAUUCGAACAAGAUGACACUGAACUAAUUGACAUUAUAACUAAAUAACCAUGAUACAAGUGAAUCCUGCCCUAACCUUACAAUAGUUAUUUGUUCCUGUGAGGUGUACACAGCUUCCUACAGCAGAAACACUGAGCUGAUCAACCUGAAAGUGAGCGUUCGGUCGUUAUUUGGAAAGGUUGUUCUGAAGCCUACAACAGUGGUUGUCUAACCAGCACUUCUUUGGUGAUUAAAGGAUAAUAAUACAUAAGAAGACACAAGCACUUUGUACACUUUGGAGGAGUUUUAGUAAUUGUUAUUAAUUGGUAUUAAUUGUUUUUAAUAACCAUUGUAUAAGACACGUUUUUGAUGCAAUAAUGUAUUUUUAUAGUUGCACUAGACCCUGUGGGUAAAUAAUGGGUUAAUUUCCUAAGCAAAGCUGUAAUUUUUACGCCCACCUUCUUUUCC